CAGUGGAUAACCAUUCUUUUCCUGAUAUAUUUACUUUUCUUUCAUUAAUGCAUCAAAAUCCACAAUAAAGAUAGUUUUCUUUAUAUAUACUAAGAAUUAAAUAUGUUGUUCUAAUUUUGAGAAAUACAUAUGUGUAGACAAUGUCAAUUCUUCAUAUUCCUUGAAGAGAUAUUGGUUAAUUAUUUUGCUGUUUUAUAAUUCUGUACGGAUUUAUUUUUUUUACUCAUGCAUUAGUAGGCUUUGAACUUGCAAAAAUUUCUUGCAGUAGGAAAGAAGUUAAGCCCUUGUAACUGCUUGAUGGCACCAUCCUGUCCUUCUAAGGUUAAAGCAAGACAGCACAUGAUUUCUUUUUCCUCACUCUCUUUUAGCACAUGAGCCAGAAGCAGACAAUCAGUUGAAACAGUGAUGAUUACAAAUGACAAUUUGUAGCAUGUGUUAUCACAGUCACUGUAUACAGUAAUUCAGCCAACAAUGAAUUUUGCUAACAACCAUGUGGAUUCAUGGAAAACCAUUUGUUUUCUGGAUGAAGUCAACUACAGACACAUUAUUACAGUACACUUUUCCCAGGAUCUGUAUUGAAUAAGCAGACUAAACACAGUGUUAGUUUAAAAGGUCUUUGCAGAUACUAGGUGAAAGCUGACCCCUUCAAAGUCAGUGACUAACAGUACGUAGAUGUUAGCAAGGCUAAUGUUAUAAUUAUCCACACAGCUAUUGGACUGUCAAAAAUUUUAGGGUUUUAUUUAGCCUGUUCACAACUGAGAGAAAUCUUCUCUCUCAAUAGCUUCCUCAGUUAUUUUAGUCAAAUAAAUUACAUCCCGGGCUCCCAGUCAGGCAGGGAUGUGACAGGCUCUUGAAGGUGUCAGAUGUGAACCUUGCUGAGCUUGAAGUUUUCCUGAGGUAACUGAAAAUUUUAAAUUCAUCUCUUGAAGGACACUGUUUCCCUGAGUGACAAUUCAGACAUAUUAAAUGUGGACGAUUAAGGAGCAGCUGCACUCGAUGGGCUUGUAGGAAAUAAGAAAUUUGAUGGAAUUACCCAGUGUGCAUCUAGACAAAAGCUUUAGACAUGUUUGGACAAAAGCAUGACUCAACAACUUAAACUAAAAUGUAAGGGAUUGCAACCGGGUAACAUCAACAUUUCCCAACAUAACAUUAAAGUAUGAGAAAAUGAGAAUCCAUGGAAUAACUUUGUCUGAGUAUGGAAGUGGCAUCUUUCCUCCCUGAGAGGCAAAGGGAACAGCAAGGACUCCCCGUUUGUCUUCAACAGCUAUGGCAGUGUAGUACUGAUUAGCUGUCCUAUCUACUGUGACUCUGUAAUGACAGCUUCCACAAAAUUAUCACCCAGCCAAAAUAGACUCAGUUCACAGGUUAAGUGUGCCAGUGUCAUUAAGUUAAAUGUAAGGAAUAAACAUGAUCAAUCUCCAUAAAUAACAAAGGCUGGGAGGGGAAGGAGCAGCCACUUCUGAGAAAGCAGAAAAUGGAACACAGCAAAAACCCAGCAAGUGGAAUUAUUUAUGUCACUGGGAAAACAGAGGACAUGGCUCAGGAGGAAAGGGACAUCAGUACUACAGAAAUUCUUGAUGGCCUAGGUCCUUCUUGAUCUUGCAACUUGGCCUCUGAAGCAUCUCAGAAGACAGCUGCAUUGAUUCUCUCACGUGCAUUGGACACUUGCAAGCUUUAACAAAGUAUAAGACCUGGAGAAGGCUACUGGAAAAAUCAAUGCAGACCCAUACUACUCUGGAAGGAGUAACAGGAAACACUGGGGUUUCUCAGAACUCCCUGAUUGCACUGAGAUGUGUCAAACAAUUUAAGGCACCCUUUUAGUGAGACAUUGAAAUGGUGGAAGGAAUGGAAAAGAGCACUGUAAUACUUCACAUGAAGAAUAGAGGAUAGAACAACGCUAAAAGGAGACUGCAAGACCAACAAGAUGUCAGUAAUAAACUGACAAUCACUCCAUUAAAAAAGAACUGAAGAGGAGAGAACUUGAGGAAACUGGAAAGACAGAAUUUCUGUGCAAUGUAUUUAUUCAUCAGGCCACUGAGCUGAAAAUCCACUUUUCUCACUUUUUGCAGUAAAUGCAAGCACAAAAACUACUUACUGAAAGAAAAAUCUUCAGCUUUAAGAAGGAAUUACAACAAACAAAAGUCAUU